CCUGCUCCUUCGAUGAUCGCUACGUACGCACGUACGUAGAGGAACGUCCGGGCACCAGCCUUCGCGCAAGCGAAGUGGGUGUCAGCCGACCUGGCGCUUGCGCUACGGCCGGCAAGCCACCGGAACGCCAUGCGGGUAACGCCCGCCCACGCACAGAUAUCCGGCAAGGGUGCGUGAGGACUAGUGCCACAGAGACGAGCCCCCGCAAGGGGGAGUGAAACGCCUCGGAGUACCGAGGACUGCGGCUCCAAAGUUUGCAGUCGGUAAACUCAUGGUGGUGCAAGGAGGAUUUGGGUACGCGGGGUUCGCGAUGGUUCCGUCGCGCCGCAUACCCCUCCGCUCGAGACGCCGGGCAACCGGCGCCCUAGAGAGAUGAUCAUCACCCUGUAGUGACACGCAGUGUCUACUACGGGGUACAGAACCCGGCGUAUGAGGGGGCAGGAUAC
rnacentral:RNase_P_RNA from 1 species